CACAGUUAAGCGUGCUUGGGCGAGAGUAGUACUAGGAUGGGUGACCUCCUGGGAAGUCCUCGUGUUGCACCCC
rnacentral:rRNA from 1 species